rnacentral:lncRNA from 1 species
GACCUGUUGUUCCUGACACUCUUGCGAGGUGGGUGGAUUAAACCCUCUGCCUCUGCUAGCUUUUCUCCCAGGUCUCACACCUGGACCCCCCACCCCCACCAACUCCCCUCCCAGGCCUCCCACCCAGACCCCCACUCCCCUCCUAGGCCUCCCACCUAGACCCCUGCCCCCACCAAUUCCCCUUCCAGGCCUCACACCUGGACCCCCACCCCCACUGACUCCC